AGCCUGGGAUAACAGCGGGAAACUGGUGCUAAUACCGGAUAUCUUUGUUUUGAGGCAUCUUAAGACAAAGAAAGGUUAACGCUUUAGGAUGGGCCCGCGUCCCAUUAGCUAGUUGGUGAGGUAACGGCUCACCAAGGCGACGAUGGGUAGCCGGCCUGAGAGGGUGUACGGCCACACUGGGACUGAGACACGGCCCAGACUCCUACGGGAGGCAGCAGUAGGGAAUAUUGCGCAAUGGGGGCAACCCUGACGCAGCGACGCCGCGUGAGUGAUGAAGGCCUUCGGGUCGUAAAGCUCUGUCAUGAGGGAAGAAAAAAUGACGGUCCUCAUGAGGAAGCCCCGGCUAACUACGUGCCAGCAGCCGCGGUAAUACGUAGGGGGCAAGCGUUGUCCGGAAUUACUGGGCGUAAAGGGUGCGUAG
rnacentral:rRNA from 1 species